AUACUUAUCUGGAAGGGGAGAUACCAUGAUCACGAAGGUGGUUUUCUGAGGGCAAGUCUUAUCCAUUGCACUGUGGAUGGGUUGACCUCUGCGAUUUCCCCAAAUGUGGAAAACUUGACCGUAUAAUUUAUGGUAGUGGGGGACUGCGUCCGUGCUUUCCCCUG
ensembl:snRNA U1 U1 spliceosomal RNA